UGUCUACUACACCUGUUGUAUUCAGCAUUUCACGGUAAGGUCUACUACACCUGUUGUAUUCAGCAUUUCACGGUAAGGUCUACUACACCUGUUGUAUUCAGCAUUUCACGGUAAGGUCUACUACACCUGUUGUAUUCAGCAUUUCACGGUAAGGUCUACUACACCUGUUGUAUUCAGCAUUUCACUGUAAGGUCUACUACACCUGUUGUAUUCAGCAUUUCACUGUAAGGUCUACUACACCUGUUGUAUUCAGCAUUUCACGGUAAGGUCUACUACACCUGUUGUAUUCAGCAUUUCACGGUAAGGUCUACUACACCUGUUGUAUUCAGCAUUUCACUGUAAGGUCUACUACACCUGUUGUAUUCAGCAUUUCACGGUAAGGUCUACUACACCUGUUGUAUUCAGCAUUUCACGGUAAGGUCUACUACACCUGUUGUAUUCAGCAUUUCACUGUAAGGUCUACUACACCUGUUGUAUUCAGCAUUUCACGGUAAGGUCUACUACACCUGUUGUAUUCAGCAUUUCACUGUAAGGUCUACUACACCUGUUGUAUUCAGCAUUUCACUGUAAGGUCUACUACACCUGUUGUAUUCAGCAUUUCACUGUAAGGUCUACUACACCUGUUGUAUUCAGCAUUUCACGGUAAGGUCUACUACACCUGUUGUAUUCAGCAUUUCACUGUAAGGUCU